ensembl:lncRNA
UGUUCAGAGAGCAGAUGAGUGCCAUUGCCAGAGCAAUACUUUGCAGUGUGCCUUUAACUGCCCUGUGCCUUACAGGCAGCAUGGUGAGUAUUGUUCUUUGCAGUGCAACAAGAAAACAGGAAGGGGCCUCUGGGAGUUUGGAUGAGUCUCCUGCAAGCAGAUCUUGGUGUCUGAGUUUCACAGGGGGAUCUAAAACUCAGUAUGUUAAAAGAAGUGUGCAUACACAUGUAUACACAUAUGGAUUUCUUAAUGUAGAUAUACUUGAACACUGUAACUAGAAGAAAUUGGCAGUUAAGAUCCAUUCUGAGCAAGAGGGACCAAGCGUUCCCUUUGCCCAACUCUCUCGACCAUGUAUUUUGCAUGUAAAUCGGGCUCUUAAGUUUGGAUUUUCCUAUGAAUCAUUUGGUUAAUCCUCAGCACAGCCCUUAAACUAGCUUUACUCACAUCAGUGUGGCUGGUGAAUAGAAACUGGGCAUGCAGCUCAUUGUGCUUCAGGUGUGCCUGAGCCACUCACCGGUGUUGCUCCAGUGGCUGCAGCAGUGUGAGGCACCUGUGUGGCACAGCCAGUCCCCAAAGAACUGGAAACAUGGGAGGGGUGGGAUGGGAGAGACAGGGCUAAAAUGAUGUUGGAUUGAAUAACAGCAGCACAGCCACAUCAGCAUUCCAUCUUGGCUGGCCUACUUCUUCCCAGCAUCAUUCUGUGGUUUUUCAAAGAUGCAUGGCAAAUGCUUAGGUUGCCUACUCACCAAACAACAACAGAACAGUAGAGAACCUGCUUAUGCCCAUAAACCUUAGCGAGAAGUCAGUCCUUCCAGCACACUGUACCACUUGACCUCUGGGCUGUAACUCUGCCUCCCAGUUUGCCAGUUGCCUUCCUGUUCUUCAUAAACCUCUUGUGUCAAUGACUGGCGCUUAGCUGGAGCUUAUGGGAUGUGGAUAUUGCUCAUCACCAACACAGAGAGCUGUCUGAUAAUGUCUUGGCUGCUGGGAGGAACAGCUGCAAGGGAGCACGGGAGAAUCUCUCUGCUAGAAGAAGAAUAUGAAAAUGCAUCGUGUUAAAAAUCCUGUGGAAUUACUGUGGGGGAGAGUUCAUAAAUUACUUGGGUGAAACGAAAGCCUAUUUUUUAAGUGAUGCUUUAAUAACGGUUGGACAGGAUGGCCUUUGGUCACCUCCCUGUAGUUCUUCUAACUUUGCCUCCAUUGUUUUUGCUGGGGCUGCAAGGGUGUUGGAGCAAAGAAUGUGGCUCUGUGAGUACUGCAGUUUCAUUACUGCUGAAAUGCAGCCAUCUCUGGGACAGAAUGCAGAGCACACUCGUGCCAGCAAACUCUGGGGUUUAAUGGGCAUGUGGUGCCAGAGAAUGUUACCCUGGCUGUGUGCCAAUUAGCUGUGAACUUCUCUAGAAAUUUGUCCUAAAGGGAAAGAAAUGUCAUCUGGUUAAUCUAGGAGGGUGCUUUGCUUUCUAGGAGGAAGCAAAGUUCUUGUCUGUUCUGCUGCUUGGACUGAAAGGGUUCAAUUGGUAGCUGGAAGGCUCCAUUGUUCCAACAAGAGAGUGUUUACCAGGUCAGAAUGUGCUUUGGAUCAUGAGAGCAGCAAGGAGACAACAUCUCCAACACUAAAGAAAAAUGUCUGUUAUCUCUGAGACAGAGCUGUGUGAGACAUCUUUAUUGUUCUUUAUCCUUCAGUGUUAUUUUUGCUUAGAAUUUCUCUGUGCUCAGUGAUGUAGUAAUGUUGAGUGGGAAUCCUUGCCUGCCAGAAUAGCUCCUUCAGACAUUGCAUAAAUGUUUCUUCCCCUGCAAACUGUGCAAAUUCUGUAUCUCCUUGUCUAUUCAAACAACUCAGCCCGAGAUUUUUACACUGAUAAUUAUCAGUUCAUCAUCAACUUCUGACGUAGCUUCCUUGCAGUGCUGCAUCUGAGCCUCUCUCCAUUUCACCUUCUUGUUCUAUAGCCACUUAUUAAUCAAAGCUGUUUAAUGUGAGCUUUAAUUGCAGAGUUGUCUGGAACUUAACUCCAGACUUUGCUCCCCCGAGUCUUUUUUACUUUCCAUGUUUUCUUCAUUGUUGAGGAAAACUCUCAAUCACUUUUCUGCCUCUCUUCCUCAUACAGCUUAUGUUGAAUUACUGCCGUUUCCUAUCAUAUAAGGACGUUCUUUGACUCUCUUCUCAUUUGUCUGCCACUCUCUCUUAUUGGUCUCUCUCUCAUCCAUGCUGUUGGCCCAAAUCUUUUCAUUUGUUUAUAAAAUGUGGCCCUUCCUUUAUCCUUCUUUUUUUUUUCUCUUUUUCCCAUUUGAUAACUGUUUUGAGGGCCAAAAUCUGAAAUCUGCCUUUGCUUUUCUAAGCUGAGGACACUAAUGCAAUCUAAAGCAAUGGGCACGACCGCAAUCUAAAUUUUAAGUAUCAACAGUUACUUUUGGGGCAUCAUUUUUUACAUGUUUCCUCCUGCCUUUGAGAGACUGCUUUUUAUAUCACCACAGCUUCUCCAGAUAAAGCACAGAAUGGCUGUUUCACAACAUGGCAUUCAUGUUGUGAAAGUACAGUGCUCACAAUUGCGGGGAGAUUGUAGAAAAUGCCCUGGGCUUUGGAAUUUAGACUCCUAAAAAUAAGGAUUCAUUUGGUAAAAGGAAAAGCCUACUUUAUUUUAUCCAGUGUUGAAAAAGAUCUUUCAAAUUGCAUCGGACAACCAGCUGAUCAGAUAAGGAACAAGAUGAUCACAGCAACAGAAGUGUUUUAAAAGAGAAAAUGAAGAAUAAUGUCUCCAACUGGAACUAGGCAGUAAUUACCUGGAGCAGAAAGUGGCCAAGGUAUGGGCAAGCACUUCUCAAGAAAGAGAAAGAAAG